CCCUUAGAUGUUCUGGGCUGCACGCGCGCUACACUGAUGCGAUCAACAAGUUUUUCCUAUGUCGAUAGACACGGGUAAUCUUUUGAACUCGCAUCGUGAUGGGGAUAGAUUAUUGUAAUUAUUAAUCUUCAACGAGGAAUUCCUAGUAGGUGCAAAUCAUCAGUUUGCAUCGAUUACGUCCCUGCCCUUUGUACACACCGCCCGUCGCUGCUACCGAUUGGUUGAUCUGGUGAAUUAUUCUGACUGCCGGCUGAAGGGGUUUCCUCAUCUGCCAGCGGAAAGUCUUGUUAACCCUAUCAACUAGAGGAAGCAGAAGUCGUAACA
rnacentral:rRNA from 1 species